AUGUUCUCUCGGGCAGGUGUCACAGGGGGUUUCGGCCUGGGCCUUGCAGCCGUAAUGGGUCCAAGUUCGAAAUAUGGCAACUUUGAAAGAUAUUACCAGGUGACUAAAGUCCAUCAAAAACAUCCAGAAAAUUACCAAGUGUAUGAAAAUGGUAGCAGCAGCAAAAUACGCCCGAGCUGAGAGGGAGCUGAAACCAGCUCGAGUGUACAGAAUAGGAUCUUUGGCUCUGUAUGAAAAAGCUGAUAUUAAGGCGCCCGAAGACAAGAAGAAGCACCUCCUUAUUGGUGUGUCCUCAGAUAGAGGGCUCUGUGGUGCUAUCCAUUCCUCAGUUGCUAAGCAGAUGAAAAGUGAGGUGGCUAUGCUCACAGCGGCCGGGAAAGAAGUUAUGAUUGUUGGAAUUCGUGAUAAAAUCAGGGACAUACUUCAUAGGACUCAUUCUGACCAGUUUCUGGUGACAUUCAAAGAAGUGGGAAGAAAGCCCUCAACUUUCGGAGAUGCGUCAGUCAUUGCCCUUGAGUUACUAAAUUCUGGAUAUGAGUUUGAUGAAGGCUCUAUCAUCUUUAAUCGGUUCAGGUCUGUCAUCUCCUAUAAGACAGAAGAAAAACCCAUCUUCUCCCUUAAUACCAUUGCAAGUGCUGAGAGUGUGAGUAUCUACAAUGAUAUUGGUGUCGAUGCGCUGCAGAAUUACCAAGAAUACAAUCUGGCUAACAUCAUCUACUACUCUUUGAAGGAGUCUACCACCAGUGAACAGAGUGCUAGGAUGACAGCCAUGGACAACACCAACAAGAACGCUUCUGAGAUGAUUGAUAAAUUGACUUUGACAUUCAACCACACCACCAAACUGUCAUCACAAAAGAGUUGA